UACGGGGGGAGCAAGCGUUGUUCGGAUUUACUGGGCGUAAAGGGCGCGUAGGCGGUAGCACAAGUCAGUUGUGAAAUCUCCGGGCUUAACUCGGAAAGGUCAACUGAUACUGUGCGACUAGAGUGCAGAAGGGGCAACUGGAAUUCUCGGUGUAGCGGUGAAAUGCGCAGAUAUCAGGAGGAACACCAAUUGCGAAGGCAGCUCGCUGGGACGUUACUGACGCUGAGACGCGAAAGCGUGGGGAGCAAACAGG
rnacentral:rRNA from 1 species